rnacentral:rRNA from 1 species
GAUGAACGCUGGCGGCGUGCCUAACACAUGCAAGUCGAACGGAGUCCAGCCUUUAAGACCUUCGGGUCAAAGAGGGGAAGACUGAGUGGCGGACGGGUGAGUAACACGUGGGCAACCUGGCUCAUAGAGGGGGAUAACAGAGAGAAAUUUCUGCUAAUACCGCAUAAGCACACACUGCCGCAUGGCAGAGGGUGAAAAGAGAAUCGCUAUGAGAUGGACCCGCGUCUGAUUAGCCAGUUGGCAGGGUAAGAGCCUACCAAAGCGACGAUCAGUAGCCGAUCUGAGAGGAUGAACGGCCACAUUGGGACUGAGACACGGCCCGAACUCCUACGGGAGGCAGCAGUGGGGGAUAUUGCACAAUGGGGGGAACCCUGAUGCAGCGACGCCGCGUGAGUGAAGAAGUAUUUCGGUAUGUAAAGCUCUAUCAGCAGGGAAGAUAAUGACAGUACCUGAAUAAGAAGCCCCGGCUAACUACGUG